rnacentral:rRNA from 1 species
UGCAGUCGAGCGGANGAGAGGAGCUUGCUCCUCGAUUCAGCGGCGGACGGGUGAGUAAUGCCUAGGAAUCUGCCUAGUAGUGGGGGACAACGUUUCGAAAGGAACGCUAAUACCGCAUACGUCCUACGGGAGAAAGUGGGGGAUCUUCGGACCUCACGCUAUUAGAUGAGCCUAGGUCGGAUUAGCUAGUUGGUAGGGUAAAGGCCUACCAAGGCGACGAUCCGUAACUGGUCUGAGAGGAUGAUCAGUCACACUGGAACUGAGACACGGUCCAGACUCCUACGGGAGGCAGCAGUGGGGAAUAUUGGACAAUGGGCGAAAGCCUGAUCCAGCCAUGCCGCGUGUGUGAAGAAGGCCCUCGGGUCGUAAAGCACUUUAAGUUGGGAGGAAGGGCUUACAGCGAAUACCUGUGAGUUUUGACGUUACCGACAGAAUAAGCACCGGCUAACUUCGUGCCAGCAGCCGCGGUAAUACGAAGGGUGCAAGCGUUAAUCGGAAUUACUGGGCGUAAAGCGCGCGUAGGUGGCUUGAUAAGUUGGAUGUGAAAUCCCCGGGCUCAACCUGGGAACUGCAUCCAAAACUGUCUGGCUAGAGUGUGGUAGAGGGUAGUGGAAUUUCCAGUGUAGCGGUGAAAUGCGUAGAUAUUGGAAGGAACACCAGUGGCGAANGCGACUACCUGGACUAACACUGACACUGAGGUGCGAAAGCGUNNGAGCNNNAGGAUUAGAUACCCUGGUAGUCCACGCCGUAAACGAUGUCAACUAGCCGUUGGGAUCCUUGAGAUCUUAGUGGCGCAGCUAACGCAUUAAGUUGACCGCCUGGGGAGUACNGCCGCANNNUAAAACUCAAAUGNAUUGANGGGGCCCGCACAAGCGGUGGAGCAUGUGGUUUAAUUCGAANCAACGCGAANAACCUUACCUGGNCCUUGACNUGCUGAGAACUUUCCAGANANGGAUUGGUGCCNNNNGGAACUCNNANNCNNNGCUGCAUGGCUGUCGUCAGCUCNNGUCNUGAGANGNUGGGNUAAGUCCCNNAACNAGCGC